rnacentral:rRNA from 1 species
UAAUACCAGCACCUCGAGUGGUUAGGAGGUUUAUUGGGCCUAGAGCAUCCGUAGCCGGCUACGCAAGUCUCCGGUUAAAUCCAUCUGCUUAACAGAUGGGCUGCCGGAGAUACUACAUAGCUAGGGAGCGGGAGAGGUAGACGGUAUUCGGUGGGUAGGGGUAAAAUCCUCUGAUCCAUUGAGGACCACCAGUGGCGAAGGCGG